rnacentral:rRNA from 1 species
CAGAGGGUGCGAGCGUUAAUCGGAAUUACUGGGCGUAAAGCGCACGUAGUCGGCUUUGCAAGUCGGUUGUGAAAUCCCCGGGCUCAACCUGGGAACUGCAUCCGAGACUGCAUUGCUAGAGUAUGGGAGAGGAAAGCGGAAUUUCUGGUGUAGCAGUGAAAUGCGUAGAUAUCAGAAGGAACAUCAGUGGCGAAGGCGGCUUUCUGGACCAAUACUGACGAUCAGGUGCGAAAGCGUGGGGAGCAAACAGGAUUAGAUACCCUGGUAGUCCACGCCCUAAACGAUGACAACUGGAUGUCGGGAGGGUUUGCCUUCCGGUGUCGUAGCUAACGCGUUAAGUAUUCCGCCUGGGGAGUACGAUCGCAAGAUUA